GCUGGUGUGGCUCAGUGGAUAGAGUGUCGGCCUGCGGACUGAAGGGUCCCUGGUUCGAUUCCAGUCAAAGGCA
rnacentral:tRNA from 1 species